UACGUAGGGUGCGAGCGUUCAUCGGAAUUACUGGGCGUAAAGAGUGCGUAGGCGGUUUCUCAAGUCCGCUGUGAAAUCCCCGGGCUCAACCUGGGGGCGGCACUUGAGACGUAGGAACUGGAGUGAGGAAGAGGGUCGUGGAAUUCCCAGUGUAGAGGUGAAAUGCGUAGAUAUCAGGAGGAACACCGGUGGUGUAGACGGCUCUCUGGACCGUAACUGACGCUGAGACACGAAAGCGUGGGUAGCAAACAGG
rnacentral:rRNA from 1 species